GCUGAAUAAUGGUCCCCAGUGAUAUCAAGUCCUAGUCCCUAGAACCUGCAAAUGCUGCUUUAUUUGGAUAAAAGUGUCUUUGUAGAUGUAAUUACAUUGAGGAUAUUGAGUUAGGGGGAUUAUCCUGGAUUAUCCACAAGGGCCUUAAUGCGGAGAGAGACUGGACACACACAGAUGAGAAGACCAUGUGAAGAAAGGUCUGAAGAUGCUGGUCUUGAUUCGAGUGAGGAGGGAACAAUCCAAGAAAUGCCCACAGUGACCAGGAGCUGGAAGAGGCAAAGAAGUAAUUCUCCCCUAAAGCCUUCAAAGAGAGCAUGGCCUCCUGGGAGCCUCAUGAUGGAUAUCAAAGCGUGAAUUUUAGUAACAGCCAAGAUGGAAUGAAUUGCUGUGAUGCUUCCCUUCAACCCCUCAAACACUGAAGACAGGCUGAGGGAAGAGGCCGGCCUGGCUUGUCCUACCUAACUUGUUCAGGAGGAAAGUGGGAGCAGAAGAAGCCGGCAGAUCUUGCCUGUGCCUUGAUCUCCAGGCCCUGCCUGGUUUGCACUUGGCACAGAACCUGCAAACUCGAGACAGUGCCCCUGAGCCUUAAUGCUGCUGGCUUAGGAGAGAGGUGAGGCCACCCAAGAAAGCAUUAUCCCCACCCAAAGAGAAACGUAGUCCCAUGAAGGCAAGUCAGCCAGGUAGGGCGGAGAGUGUUGGGUAGAGUAAAAAACUGAAGUCCCAAACUUCUCAGAAAGGACAGAAGAGUAUGUGGUUCUGUUUACUACGGGGCAUGAAUGGAAUAUGGGAGAACUAUUCUUCCUUAUUUUUUGCACUUCAUCUGUAUAAAUUAAUACAAGUAUUUUCCUCAUGACUUCUUCUAUUCCUUGGCGUCAUCCUCAAGGGAUAGGUCUUCCUCUUUGAUUCCAUUUUAUUUUUAAACUUGUUUCUCCUGGAGUGGGUACUUUUUUACCCUUAAAAUAAACACUAUAAACUUUCAGUUCAAUUCCACAUACUGUUACAUUUCACCAAAGGGUUAAUAAGUAAAAAAUGCUUUCUAAAAUUUAUUUUUAUUUCCUUUAAAGUUUUCAAAAUGAUUAUUUAAAGAAGCAACAAUUGCUUUUGCAACCACCCCCUCUAUUUGUGGGUUUUAAUAAG
rnacentral:lncRNA from 1 species